rnacentral:rRNA from 1 species
UACGGAGGGAGCGAGCGUUGUCCGAAGUUACUGGGCGUAAAGAGCUCGUAGGUGGUUUGUCGCGUUGUUCGUGAAAACUCACAGCUCAACUGUGGGCGUGCGGGCGAUACGGGCAGACUUGAGUACUGCAGGGGAGACUGGAAUUCCUGGUGUAGCGGUGGAAUGCGCAGAUAUCAGGAGGAACACCGGUGGCGAAGGCGGGUCUCUGGGCAGUAACUGACGCUGAGGAGCGAAAGCGUGGGGAGCGAACAGG